GGACCGUAUCUUGCGGACAGGUGUUAACAAAUGAGAGGAUAGAGGUUUGGUUACGCGUUGAACGCGAUCAAACUUUCCUUUCUCUCUCUCGAAUCCUCUCUUCCACGAAAAGGAAAGGCGAAUCGUCGGCGACGUCUCGGAGCAGCAACCAGCAGCAAUGGCGGUUUCUCUCUCCUCGUCGACGAUCACUCCCAUGACGCUCCAGCCGAAGCUGAAACCGAUUCAUGGCUUAGGGACACUAAAAUUCGGUUAUUUGGUGAAUUCUCAUCUUCCUAAAACCAGAACCGAUGUCUCUCUCCGGCGUAGCGCUAUCGUCGCAUCUGCCAUUACCGGCGCUUCAGGAACUGAAACUGCCGAUUUGCUAGAGACAGUGAAAGUCUCGGACUUGAAAGGAAACGAGAUUCCGAUCUCUGAUUUAUGGAAGGAUAGGAAAGCCGUUGUUGCAUUUGCUCGUCAUUUCGGGUGUUGAACUAAAUUGAUCAGCAUGUUCAUACACUUCGUUUUCAUUACAUUCUGUUUUGAAGAAAAAAAAAUUAAAGUCUUGAGCUUUUGUUCAUUUUGCAGUUGGCUGAGAAAGAAAUGGAGGAGGAAGAGGAGUUGCUGCUAAAGAGCCUUGGGUGGAAAGGGAAAUGACUCAUUCAGGGUGCAUACGACAUUGAGAAAGCAGCUAAGCCUCAGCCGGAGAAAGCAGAUGAUUGUGUUUUACAAAAGGUCUAAUCAAAGACACGAGAGAAGCUCCAUGGCAAAUAAAAUAAAACAUGGAGUGGCCUGUGUUAGAAGUUUAUAGCCCACCCAAGUUGUGAAAGCAGUCCAACCAGAGUUUAUCGCUGACCUCACAUCGCAGAAAUAUAUGAUAUUUGCCUUCAAUAAAACCUUUGCAGAGGCAGUGUGCUUUUUUCGGAUUUUAAGGCAGUGGUAGUAAACUAGACGAAUCACUUUUAUUGAAUCAAGAAGUAGAAACAGACAAUGAGGAGUAAGAGAACUGAUCUCAUACAAUCGGCUGAAGUGAAUCCAUAAUCUUGGUUUUACUUUAGUUAGUUCAUAAAGAAGAGACGAUAGUUCUGCUUGUGAGAUAUAUAUGGACCAUACAUUUGCAACUUUCAUUCAAUGGUUGAUUCACAUGUUUUGUAUUGUUGUUGUGUUGUUCUCUGUUUAUUCAGCUUGGUCAUUUUAUAGACAAAGUCAUUCACUCAUCAAACAAGUUCAUUCUUCUCUUCUUCUCACGAUCAUUGCAUAAGUUCUAUUUAACCACAAAACAAUUUUCAUUUUUCUCACAAAGUCAUCAAACAAAUCCUUUCGUUUUUAUUUUUUAUGUUUUUAUUUUAAAAUCAAUGUUUAAAAUAUUAUCUUGUACUAUGUUUUAUGAAAAAAAUUAAGUUUAAUAAAAAAAAUAAAAAAAUUGGUGUUUAAUUAAAUUUUUUUUUUUUAAGAACCUUUAAAUAAUAGACUUGCAAUAGAGCAAGUAAAUUUCCGGGUCUCUUAAUCCAUUCUCUUAAUUCACUUUUACAAUUAAAAGGUAUUAAAAAAAAUAAGAGACCCAUUUAGGGUCUCUAGAAUAAUGGUGCUCUAAUAGCGGAAAUUUGAUAAUCAUCUAAAACUCAUGGGACAGAGACUUGUGUUUCAGUAUAAUGUAUCUGCAGUGAAUCCAGAUUAUUUGUAUCAUCGUUUAUGCAAGUGUUUUUCAAACUUACUUAAGAUUAUCACCAUCGUUUAUGCAAAUGUUUUUCAAACUUACCUAAGAUUUUCUUCUUCUAAUUUCCCCCAAAUAACAUUAAAAAAAAACAAAAGAAAUGGAGUACAACGGAAUGUAAAGGCAGGAAACGUGGAUUGCUUUGUAUGGGGAAUGAGAAUGUGAAUUUUGGGGGGAAUAUUUGUUUAUAUAUGAUUCAUAAAAGAAAUUAUAGAUACUUUUAAAAUAUUUUAUAAGAUUUAUCUAACAUAAUUUUGUCUUAUGUUUGCCUUUAACAUUAUUAAUAAUAAUAGUAUUUCGAAAUUAUAUUUUAUUUAUUGAAAAUAUGUAAUUUUAAUUAGGUGCAGAAAAAUAUCUCUUCUCAUUUAAGAAAUUGUGGUUUUCAAAUAUUCUACCAGGAAGUGUAUUUUCAAAUUUCAAACUAUAAAUAGAGUAAUUUUCAUAUUAUCCCUUUUUAAUAUCUUCCUAUUUUCACUGGAUUUGUGUUUUAUAAAUCUGUCCAAACAUUUAUACUUCUGAUUUUUUUUAUAAAUAUAAAUAGUGUCCAAUUUGUUUCCACUACUGGCUAGUGUUAAAAUUAACCUUAUUAUAUAACAAACUAGGAUCGGCCCGGGCUACGCCCGGAUUUUUUAUUUAAAUAUUAAUUAUAAUCAUAUAUUUAUGUUAUUUUGAUAUAUAAAUAUUAUAUAAAUAUAAAUAGCUAGAUAAUUAUAAAAUUUUAUUUAAUUAUUUAUUAUUUUCUGUCUUAUGAAUUUCAAUUAACUCAAUUUCUUACCAUAAAAUUUUUCGUUGAUUUAUUUAUUGAAUGAAACUUGUGUAACUUAAAAUCAUGCAUGCAUUUAAGCUGAAUCGAAUCUAAACUAAACCGAAGUAAAUCCGGUUAUGUUAUGUCGUUUUUCUUUGAAACAAAAGGCUCAAAAGAAAAGACUCAAUGGGAAUUGAACGCAUUGCUUCCUGUCUAUUUCCCUUCUAAGUUUAAAAUAUGUAUCUCAUAUCUCACCAACACGCAUGCCUCUGCGCGUGUAUUGAGAAACUGAUCACUUCCAUUCAUGUUAAUUCCCAAUAACUAAUUAAAAAAUAAAAUAAAAACCUUUGAUUGCUUUCCUUAUCUUUUUAUGAUUCGUUCGGAGCAAUCUUUGCUUUGAUAAUAUCUAUAUUUAUUUGGACAAAAAAAACUAUAUUUCUCUCUUGAUCGAAUCAUAGCGGAAUUGAGAAACCGAUCUGAUUUACUCGCCACCGCUUAAACUGUGGAAUAUUUUUAUUAAUAGGCUCAAAUUUCUUUUUUAACCUCUUCAGUGUUGUUGCUCAUCAUCCUCUUCCCUCUGUCUCUUCAUACUCUUCAAAACCCAUCGCCAAUAAUUUUAAACUCUUGAAUGUUAUUGAGUUACGGUGGCGGCGAAAUGAACCGUCACCGUUGAUAUCGCCUCCAACCAAGGCAAAGUCAGUAGCAUCCAGAAACUCACGGUACGCUCCUUCUUUUCCUUCUCGUUUUCAAAGUUUCAAUCUUUACCUAUGUUUUCAUUAUAGUGGCUAUUUCUCUGUAUUUGGCUUAUAUCACGGUGUGAACAAAAAGCCCACUAAACCGUAAAAAAUUAUGAAACGCAGCAGCCCACAUCAAAACGUAAUGAAACGAUGAGUUUUAGGCAAAGAAGCUCACAAUCAACGACUUUACGAUGUGGCGCAAGAAGAGGGAGACAAACAUUUUUUUUAUAUAUAUCUAUUAUAUAUUUCAAUAAAAUAGGGAAAAAAUACAUUUAGUUUACACGAGCUGAACAGCCACUAAUGGGCUACGCGUUUUAGGCCCAAAUCUGUUGAUUUGCUUACAAAUCCAACGACCACCGCCUCUGAUCUUUCCCGCUCCGCGUUGCCGGAUUCUCUCUCUGCGCUCUCCGUGGUCGUCACUCUCUGCGCUCUCCGUGAUCUCGAUCUCCGAGUUCUCCGUGGUCGCACUCUAUCUGAGUUCUCCGUCGUCAUACUCUUUCGUUGUCAAACGCUUCGUCAAACACUUGCGAUCAAUCAAGUUGUUUUUCAACAUGGAUCCUCUUCCUGAGAACUUGGUACCUCGGCGUAUCCCUAACCAAUGUAGGUUUUGGGACUGCCGAAGGUUUCAGAGUGUUCAGAAUCAGUACUGCUCUUUAAACCACCAGAUCCUUUCUGCAUCGGAGGAAGCUCUCCACAGGCCAGUCGUUGUGGUUGAUGGAUUUGAGAUGGAUGAACAAGAGAAGAUAAGUAGGAAAAUUCUUAUGGCUAAAACUGACCAUGUCCAUUGCGGUGUCCCUGAGCUACCUGCUCAUGUUCUUCAAUCCAAUCCAUGGCAAAUGGAAGAGCUAAGUUCCAACCGCAUUGAACACGAGACGGUAAGAGAUUGGCUCUUCACCUCGGACAAUGCUCGUCCAGGGAAUAUCUGGCAGUAUUAUGACGAUAGAAAGGUAGCUGGCAACCAAUUGCGGAGAAUCCAAGUGGUAUAAUCUGAGGCCUCAGCCCGAAGGGUCAUCUUAUAAGGUUCAUAAGUAUUCUUUAGCGAAUACUGUUUUGAAUACCUCUGUGUUUUGGAUUAUCUUUAGUGAAGAACCUUUAGCUAAACAAAAUGCUAAAAGAGCUAUCACUUGUGUGAGCAAUAAAGAGCCUAAGAAGGUUUGUCACAACGACAUUGAUCUGCUUAACCCUCCAGCCGAGCUUGAUAAGAGGAAGCACGAGCUCAAGCAUCUUGUUCAGUCUCCCAACUCUUUUUCCACGGUGCUGCAAAACGACAUCGAUUUGCUUAACCCACUAGCUGAGCUUGAGACGAGGAAGCACAAGCUCAAGCGACUUGUUCAAUCUCCCAACUACUUUUUCAUGGAUGUGAAAUGCCAAGGCUGCUUCAACGGCACUACCGUUUGCAGUCACUCGCAUACUGCUGUUGUAUGUGGAAACUGCUAGACAGUGAUGUGCCUUAUAUGCAUAUAAGUUUAUAUACUCUUUGUGGUCUCUGAUUGUGUUUCGUGUUGUUGUUAACCUUUUUAUUGUAGGAUGUUAAAUGCCAAGGCUGCUUCAACAUUGAUGUUGUCAGUCACUCGCAGACUGUUGUGGUGUGUGGAAAUUGCCAGACAGUGUUGUGCCAGCAGAUUCCUGGGUACAAGAAAAAAUCAAAGAGUGUUGAGAUGUCAAAGUUGCUAGCGGUUGAGGAGUUAGAGAGCACAAAGACACUCAUUGAAGAUUUGAAGCUUAAUCUUGACAAGGCGGAAACAGAAGAAAAACAGGCAAAGCGGGACUCAG